GUCUAGAGAAGUGUUAUCCGCGCAGACCUUUAUAGAUUUCGGUUGGAAUGCCAAGUCAAAGAGGGUGAGAAUCCCGUAUUUGAUAAGGUGGUCUUGUGCAUUGUGAUACGCUUUCAAAGAGUCGAGUUGUUUGGGAAUGCAGCUCAAAGUGGGUGGUAAAUUCCAUCUAAAGCUAAAUAUUGGCGAGAGACCGAUAGCGAACAAGUACCGUGAGGGAAAGAUGAAAAGCACUUUGGAAAGAGAAUGAAAUAGUACCUGAAAUUGCUGAAAGGGAAACGAGUGAAGUUAGACUUGCGCAGUUGGUAUUCAGCCUUGGCUUCGGUCUUGGUGCAUUUGCCUUCUAUUGCAGGCCAACAUCAGUUUACUUUGCGGUAAAAGGGUUUAGGGAAUGUGGCUUCUUCGGGAGUGUUAUAGCCCUUUACUGGAUGCCGAAUCGUAGACUGAGGAACGCAGCGCGCCUUUCGGGGCAAAGCUUUCAAGCUUCGAGCGCUUAGGAUGUUGGUAGAAUAGCUUUACACGACCCGUCUUGAAACACGGA
rnacentral:rRNA from 1 species